rnacentral:rRNA from 1 species
UGGGGAAUAUUGCACAAUGGGGAAGACCCUGAUGCAGCGACGCCGCGUGAGCGAUGAAGUAUUUCGGUAUGUAAAGCUCUAUCAGCAGGGAAGAAAAUGACAGUACCUGACUAAGAAGCCCCGGCUAACUACGUGCCAGCAGCCGCGGUAAUACGUAGGGGGCAAGCGUUAUCCGGAUUUACUGGGUGUAAAGGGAGCGUAGACGGAGCAGCAAGUCUGAUGUGAAAACCCGGGGACUCAACCCCGGGCAGGUGCAUUGGAAACUGUUGAUCUAGAGUGCUGGAGAGGUAAGUGGAAUUCCUAGUGUAGCGGUGAAAUGCGUAGAUAUUAGGAGGAACACCAGUGGCGAAGGCGGCUUACUGGACAGUGACUGACGUUGAGGCUCGAAAGCGUGGGGAGCAAACAGGAUUAGAUACCC